CGGUUAAGUUAUUAAGGGCGCACGGUGGAUGCCUUGGCACUAGGAGCCGAUGAAGGACGGGACUAACACCGAUAUGCUUCGGGGAGCUGUAAGUAAGCUUUGAUCCGGAGAUUUCCGAAUGGGGAAACCCACUGCUCGUAAUGGAGCAGUAUCCUUAUCUGAAUACAUAGGGUAUGGAAGGCAGACCCGGGGAACUGAAACAUCUUAG
rnacentral:rRNA from 1 species